rnacentral:rRNA from 1 species
UACGAAGGGGGCUAGCGUUGCUCGGAAUUACUGGGCGUAAAGCGCACGUAGGCGGCUUUCUAAGUCGGGGGUGAAAUCCUGGAGCUCAACUCCAGAACUGCCUUCGAUACUGGAGAGCUCGAGUCCGGGAGAGGUGAGUGGAACUGCGAGUGUAGAGGUGAAAUUCGUAGAUAUUCGCAAGAACACCAGUGGCGAAGGCGGCUCACUGGGUCUUUGCUGACGCUGAGGCACGAAAGCUAGGGUAGCGAACGGG